rnacentral:rRNA from 1 species
CAGUCGAGAAUUUUUCUCAAUGGGGGCAACCCUGAAGGAGCGACGCCGCGUGGAGGAUGAAGGUCUUCGGAUUGUAAACUCCUGUCAUUUGGGAACAAAUACCUGAUUUAACUGAUUAGGAACUGAUAGUACCAGAAGAGGAAGAGACGGCUAACUCUGUGCCAGCAGCCGCGGUAAUACAGAGGUCUCAACCGUUGUUCGGAUUCAUUGGGCGUAAAGGGUGCGUAGGCGGUCGCGCAAGUCGGAUGUGAAAUCUUAGGGCUCAACCCUGAAACUGCAUUCGAUACUGCGUGGCUAGAGUACUGGAGAGGAGACUGGAAUUUACGGUGUAGCAGUGAAAUGCGUAGAUAUCGUAAGGAAGACCAGUGGCGAAGGCGAGUCUCUGGACAGUUACUGACGCUGAGGCACGAAGGCCAGGGGAGCAAACGGGAUUAGA